rnacentral:rRNA from 1 species
UGCCGUAGCUAACGCAUUAAGUACCCCGCCUGGGGAGUACGGCCGCAAGGCUAAAACUCAAAGAAAUUGACGGGGGCCCGCACAAGCGGCGGAGCAUGUGGAUUAAUUCGAUGCAACGCGAAGAACCUUACCUGGGUUUGACAUGCACAGGACGCCGGCAGAGAUGUCGGUUCCCUUGUGGCCUGUGUGCAGGUGGUGCAUGGCUGUCGUCAGCUCGUGUCGUGAGAUGUUGGGUUAAGUCCCGCAACGAGCGCAACCCUUGUCUCAUGUUGCCAGCGGGUAAUGCCGGGGACUCGUGAGAGACUGCCGGGGUCAACUCGGAGGAAGGUGGGGAUGACGUCAAGUCAUCAUGCCCCUUAUGUCCAGGGCUUCACACAUGCUACAAUGGCCGGUACAAAGGGCUGCGAUGCCGCGAGGUUAAGCGAAUCCUUUUAAAGCCGGUUUCAGUUCGGAUCGGGGUCUGCAACUCGACCCCGUGAAGUCGGAGUCGCUAGUAAUCGCAGAUCAGCAACGCUGCGGUGAUACGUUCCCGGG